rnacentral:rRNA from 1 species
CAACGCGAAGAACCUUACCUGGUCUUGACAUCCACAGAAGAAUCCAGAGAUGGAUUUGUGCCUUCGGGAACUGUGAGACAGGUGCUGCAUGGCUGUCGUCAGCUCGUGUUGUGAAAUGUUGGGUUAAGUCCCGCAACGAGCGCAACCCUUAUCCUUUGUUGCCAGCGAUUAGGUCGGGAACUCAAAGGAGACUGCCAGUGAUAAACUGGAGGAAGGUGGGGAUGACGUCAAGUCAUCAUGGCCCUUACGACCAGG